rnacentral:misc_RNA from 1 species
UUAACUUAUUUGUAUAUUACUCGGACAACACAAAAAUCAAGAGUUUAGGGUUCUCUGGCAGGCACGGACCAGCCUAAGCCAGUGGUCAUAAGACGGGCCUGCCAAAGCAACAAAGGUAAUAUAAACAAAGGGUGGGAGAUCUACCCCAAAGGGCAAUUUCUCUGUAAUGAUCCUUCCGCAGCGGAAAUAUAGCGGCAAUUUCUAGCAGCCUCCCGAUCAUAUCUUAAACCCUACACUGGGGGCCACCUCCAUUUGACCUGUGAGCCUAUUGCUAGGCUGCUGGUAUUGCAAAUGUAAAUCCCAGCACAGUGGAGAUGUUGCCUGCUGAUACAGACUUUCUAUUCUGGCGAACCUGGAAGAGAUGUUCACCUACGGAAA